rnacentral:rRNA from 1 species
GCAAAUUACCCAAUCCUGACACAGGGAGGUAGUGACAAGAAAUAACAAAGCAAGCCCUUAGGGGCGCUGCGUUGGAAUGAGUAGAAUUUAAAUCUCUUUACGACUAUCGAUUGGAGGGCAAGUCUGGUGCCAGCAGCCGCGGUAAUUCCAGCUCCAAUAGCGUAUAUUAAAGUUGUUGCGGUUAAAAAGCUCGUAGUUGGAUUUCUGUCGAGGUCAACCGGUGCACAUUUCAUGUCGCAUUUGGUUUGGUCUUGGCAUCCUCGUGGGGAACGUUUCUGGACUUUAUUGGACAGGGCGAGAUUCACGACUUUUACUUUGAGGAAAUUAGAGUGUUCACGGCAGGCAAGUGCUUUGAAUACAUUAGCAUGGAAUAAUAAUAUAGGACCUUCGUUCUAUUUUGUUGGUUUCUAGAACUUAGGUAAUGAUUAAUAGGGACAAUUGGGGGCAUUCGUAUUAACGCGUCAGAGGUGGAAUUCUUGGAUUGCGUUACGACGAACUACUGCGAAAGCAUUUGCCAAAGAUGUUUUCAUUGAUCAAGAACGAAAGUAUGGGGAUCGAAGACGCUUAGAUACCGUCGUAGUCUAUACCAUAAACUAUGCCAACUAGGGAUUGGAGGGGUUAUCCUAUGUGGCUCCUUCAGCACCUUAUGAGAAAUCAAAGUUUUUGGGUUCC